AUUGAACGCUGGCGGCAUGCUUUACACAUGCAAGUCGAACAGUAACAGGUUAAGCUGACGAGUGGCGAACGGGUGAGUAAUGCAUCGGAACGUGCCCGGUCGUGGGGGGUAACGCAGCGAAAGCUGCGCUAAUACCGCAUACGAUCUAAGGAUGAAAGCGGGGGACCGUAAGGCCUCGCGCGAUCGGAGCGGCCGAUGUCAGAUUAGGUAGUUGGUGGGGUAAAGGCUCACCAAGCCAACGAUCUGUAGCUGGUCUGAGAGGACGACCAGCCACGCUGGGACUGAGACACGGCCCAGACUCCUACGGGAGGCAGCAGUGGGGAAUUUUGGACAAUGGGCGAAAGCCUGAUCCAGCAAUGCCGCGUGCAGGAAGAAGGCCUUCGGGUUGUAAACUGCUUUUGUACGGAGCGAAAAGGUCUCCUCUAAUACAGGGGGCUCAUGACGGUACCGUAAGAAUAAGCACCGGCUAACUACGUGCCAGCCGCCGCGGUAA
rnacentral:rRNA from 1 species